rnacentral:lncRNA from 1 species
AAGCACUUGCCGCUUUUCCUAAUACCCAGAUGGCCACUUUUUCUCUCUCCAACUUUCUGUCUUUUCCCUCUUUGCCUUUUCACUUACAUCAAUUGUUUUACAAUUACAACUCUCAAAUCUAUGUUUGUCUCUUCCAAUUCACUCUACAUCUAAAGGUAAGAUUGUUUAUGAUUAAUGUUCGUGGUAAUGGUAAAAUUUGUGAUUUUUUCUUUCAAAGAUUUUGGUUGUCUUUUUCUUUCUCACCUCUGUUUUUCCUAAUUUUUGUUUCUACGGAUGUAGUUUCUGUUGGAAAUUUUGAAUCCAAAUCUUUGGCGAUUUUCUAAUUGAUUUUGGAUUAGUUUAUUGUCAAUUUUUUUUACCUGCAUGUUCUACUUUAAGAUGCCUCAAAUUGAGAGGACUGGUUAAAAUUUAAUACGGAACUCCAUUAGUUUAGUUUGAUCGUGAUUCUAAAUUUCAAGAUGGAGCUUGUUAUAUUGAGAUGCUGAGAGUUUGUUUCCAUUUGUUAUCCGAGAAUAUUAAGCUUUACUCAUUAUUUUAGAUGCUAAAAGUUUGAAUUGAAGAAAUUGUGGAUUUGUUAUACCGCGUAUGCUCUCAUGUAUGGUGGUGCCCAGAAUUUUUUUGCCUUUCUUCACUGGUUUUAUACCUAUUACUUCUAAAUUUCUUUGAAUGCUUGUGCCUUUUUGCUUUAAUUUUAGUUUUUUACUCUUUCAGAUAAUCUCUUGCUAGAUAUAUACAUGCAUGUCAUUAUGCUUGAGCUGCACAUCAUCCCAUUUAGUGCCUUUUCCCCAUUUUUUCUUAUAAUUUGCUCUUUGAGUUUGCAGCUCACUCUACUUAAGCCUAAGAUACUUGCAAUGUUGCAGAGGUACAACUUUUUGUAGUUGACUUCGUACUCCAUCUGUUCACUUUUAUGAUAUAGAAAAGAAUGUUUUUCUUUGGAUUUGUGUUGUAAUCAGUGAAGCCAAAUGG